AAGAAUGUGGGAAUUGAAAUUUUUCCGUUAAGUUGUGAUAUGGUGGUUUACGCCCAUGAACAGUGGUCGUAUUUCAAUUUACGACCAUGAACAGUGCCCGUAAACUGAAACCAAGAAUUUCUGAACAUUCUGGAAUUUGACAUUUUGAGGUCAUAUGGUUAAAUACGGACCGUAUUUCACUUUACGGCCCGUAUUUCAAAACGUGUUUGGAAUUUGGGAAAACUUCCUUGAUGAAAGUUGUAGAGAAUUGAAAUACCUUUCCAACGGUAUCUUACGGUGGUCAAACGGACAUCUGUGCAAAGAGUUAUGGCCAUUUUACUGAAGAGAGGCAGUGCUGUCCGUAUUUCAAAAUACGGCCAGUAUUUCAAAAUACGGCCCGUAUUUCAAAAUACGGCCAGUAUUUAACUGGGACGAAAAUCUGAUUUUUCCAGAACAUUAUAUGUUCGUUUAUAUCAGUUCAAGUCAUUAUUUUUCAUUCCCUCAAACCCUAGAACGAUCUCCUACUCUCCUCCAACAUCAAGAACACCAAGGUAAGUCCAUUCCAAUUAUUCCAACUCAAUUCUAACAUAUAUCCUUGUAAUCUAAACAAGAAAUAAUCAUUCCUAAUCUAGGGUUUUCAAGAAAACCCAUCUCAAGAUUCAAGAAUCAAGAUUUAGGAAAUCUUCUUCAAAAUCCAAGUCUUUAAUUCAAGUUUUGGAACAACUAAGGUACUGAUACACAGGACGACAUAUCUGCUCAGUAGGACAACAUUCGUAUCAGCUUAUUGGUGAGCCCCAUCUCAUUCGGGGUUUAGUCAACUUUUGUUUUAUGAUUAAUUAUGCAUCUAAGGUAUGCUGGGGGCCUUGUCCCAGUAAGUAUGUUUUCCAGUCAGAUCAUGAUAGAGGUUUCAUAGACUAGACAAGUCAGUUAUGUUAUGUCAGACA